AUUGCUUCUCGGCCUUUUAGCUAAGAUCAAGUGCAGAAUAUGCU
rnacentral:snRNA from 1 species